rnacentral:misc_RNA from 1 species
AAGUCGUAACAAGGUUUCCGUAGGUCGCUAAAGUUCAGCCUACCAAAGCAGACCUUUCAAAACUUGCUAGUCUCCCCCCGAGGCGACACGCUCAAUGUUGCGGAGAGGCCCUCUUCUCAGAGGGUAAUCCGCAGCCGGCUCCCCCCAAGGGCUGGUUCAGAGACUCAAUGAGUGUGGGUUUGGCCUUUUGGCCAAGCUUAAGAUAGAGCCCGUCCCUGUAGGCAACUGCAGGGGAUCAACGGAACCUGCGGAAGGAUCAUUAAAGAAUCGGUGACCCUUGCGGUCCCAUUCUCACCCUUU